rnacentral:rRNA from 1 species
AUUGAACGCUGGAGGCAGGCCUAACACAUGCAAGUCGAACGAGUGGCGGACGGGUGAGUAAUGUCUGGGAACCUGCCUGAUGGAGGGGGAUAACUACUGGAAACGGUAGCUAAUACCGCAUACAAUCAGAUGUGCCCAGAGGGGAUUAGCUAGUGGGUGGGGUACAGGCUCACCAAGGCUACGAUGCCGAGCUGGUCUGAGAGGAUGACCAGCCACGCUGGAACUGAGACACGGGUCGGACACCGACGUGAGGCGUCAGUGGGGAAUAUUGAACAAUGGGCGCAAGCCUGAUGCAGCCAUGCCGGGUGUAUGAAUAAGGCCUGCGGGUUGUAAAGUACUUUCAGCGGGGAGGCGUUACCCGCAGAAGAAGCAACGGCUAACUCCGUGCCAGCCGCCGCGGUAAUAC